rnacentral:rRNA from 1 species
GAUGAACGCUGGCGGCGUGCCUAAUACAUGCAAGUCGAGCGAACGGACGAAAAGCUUGCUUCUCUGAUGUUAGCGGCGGACGGGUGAGUAACACGUGGAUAACCUACCUAUAAGACUGGGAUAACUUCGGGAAACCGGAGCUAAUACCGGAUAAUAUUUUGAACCGCAUGGUUCAAAAGUGAAAGACGGUCUUGCUGUCACUUAUAGAUGGAUCCGCGCUGCAUUAGCUAGUUGGUAAGGUAACGGCUUACCAAGGCAACGAUGCAUAGCCGACCUGAGAGGGUGAUCGGCCACACUGGAACUGAGACACGGUCCAGACUCCUACGGGAGGCAGCAGUAGGGAAUCUUCCGCAAUGGGCGAAAGCCUGACGGAGCAACGCCGCGUGAGUGAUGAAGGUCUUCGGAUCGUAAAACUCUGUUAUUAGGGAAGAACAUAUGUGUAAGUAACUGUGCACAUCUUGACGUUACCUAAUCAGAAAGCCACGGCUAACUACGUG